rnacentral:rRNA from 1 species
UACGUAGGUGGCGAGCGUUAUCCGGAUUUACUGGGUGUAAAGGGUGUGUAGGCGGGACUGCAAGUCAGAUGUGAAAAGUACAGGCUUAACCUGUGACCUGCAUUUGAAACUGUGGUUCUUGAGGGUCGGAGAGGUAACUGGAAUUCCUGGUGUAGCGGUGAAAUGCGUAGAUAUCAGGUGGAACACCGGUGGCGAAGGCGGGUUACUGGACGAUUACUGACGCUGAGACACGAAAGCGUGGGGAGCAAACAGG